UACGUAGGGGGCGAGCGUUGUCCGGAUUUAUUGGGCCUAAAGCAUCCGUAGCCGGCCUUACAAGUCCUCCGUUAAAUCCAGCUGCUUAACAGAUGGGCUGCGGAGGAUACUAUAAGACUAGGAGGCAGGAGAGGCAAGCGGUACUCAGUGGGUAGGGGUAAAAUCCGUUGAUCCAUUGAAGACCACCAGUGGCGAAGGCGGCUUGCCAGAAUGCGCUCGACGGUGAGGGAUGAAAGCUGGGGGAGCAAACCGG
rnacentral:rRNA from 1 species